UUGUAUGCAUAUUAUCAUCCAUUUCGAUGUGAUAUUACAUCACCUGGAUAUUACACAGAAAUCAGAUUCACCAAAUUUCACUACAUUGCAGCUGUGUAAUAUUCAAUUGUUGAAACGGUGAAUAUCACACAGAAUCAGAUGCAACCCUUUGGUUCUAUUUAAUUUGUGUCAUAUUACACAAAUCGGACGUAAUAUUAUGUUUGAUGAUUAUAUAAUUCUCAAUCUAGCAACACUUUUGACUUUCCGUUUGCGCAUAUCGUUGUCGGUCUUGUCGGUGCUGUCUGGAAAGGAACCAUUUUGUUUGAUAGCAAACGAAAAUUGUUUUAUUAUUAAAAUUAAUGGCAGCAAUUCAAAACAAGUUCUCAAAAUGUAUUCUAUGCGACACGUUAGACCCGGUUUUCGUCGACGGUGGUGCCAUAGAAGUCCGGAUCGUAAAUACUCCAUUCCGAUUUUUUCGCAUCGUAAAGGGUGCUCUCGCCGCAGGAAGCACAUUACUUCGGUUAAGUAAACAUAUUCGGCUAUGUAGCUGGCCGGACAAAUUCCGGACAACAUUGAAGCGGAAACCAGGGAAAGUGGUGUACACCAACUAUUCCACCCGAAAAAUAGGAAUUAACUGCAAACAAGUGAUCCGACAAUCCGUCAGUGAGGUAAUGCGAGUGGCCACAGAAACAUCACCGGAACCAGCUUCCGACGUGCCAUAUAAAAGUAAUAAACCAUCAAUCAGUUGAAAACGACGUGAUUGUGGCAGACAACGAUAGUGAAGGAACAAACAGUUCCGACAGAAGUUGAAAAUGCCAGAAAAAUAGCUUCGGGCCCCUUCCCCUUAAUAUCCAAAAAUCCAAGUCCAGCGUCGCUCCAACUACGGAAACGGUAGAAGUGCCGACAACUAAACUUAAACAAGGCGGUAAUAAGCUUAAGGAAAUGUUGCUUGCGUCAAGACUCCUCAUACUGAACACCGGCCCUGGCGGACAGCAGCGACUCACGCGACUACACCAUCAGUGCUUCUCAAAAGGCAUACCACCACCGACACCAUCCAUGGCCGGUAAUACAGUCGAUUCUAGAAGAUGCGUCACCUGUAUCUAAUGGCAUCGCUAGCGUCCUUCUGCUACAAAAUGAGAGGAUCAAGGUCAUACUGCAUGAUCAUUGGCGAUCAUCUGACAUUCGCAGGGAAAACGGAACAUGAAGAGACAGCAACAGUUGCAGCUUACGCAAAAGCCUCCAGACAAGGAUUCAGGAUUGAACGAAGCUUCCGGAUGUUUCGAUAUUCAGCCGUGUGCUAGGCAGGCGUAGUUCAAACAAACCGCUUCACAUCGCAGAACAGAAGAAGGACAAGCACUUUCCGCUAUCGGCAUGGCACUGAACUGGCGGUUUUCCAGUGGAUCUGAAGAGCACUAUAGCGUCUGAAUAGACCACCGACUUCCGUGCCACUUAUGUCGUUAAGUUGUGUGUGGCUUGCUUGUUUCGAGUAAGAAGCUGCUUAGCUUUUGCCACGCCAUUUCACAGGACAACUUGGGACAACGAUCGUGUUCACGAUUACUCUUGCCCCACGCCUUUACGGUUAAUUGAUGCGGAUAACCGAUGAGGACAACAAUCAUACGGGUUACUCCUAAUAACAACCACUGCUUAUAGCCUAUUUAGGUUACGCCAUUUAAAUACCAUAUAAGUUAUCGAGUUAAAUAUUGGAAAGAAAAUUGAAUAUAGGGGCAUGGGGAUUGGUAUCAAGUUACUCUUCAUCAUCAUAUUUAUUAUCUUAAAUGGCGUAAUCUGAAUAGGCUAUUAGACUUCCAGUACGAAUAAUGUCAGUUGAUUGUGAAUGAUGGUCAGCGACAGUAAAAAUGUUUCAAAUGAAUGACACAAUACCGCUGAAACCGCGGAAACAACCUGAUCUAUUGGCAUAAAAUUAAUUUUCUUCAUUCAACUUCUGUAUACAGUCUAUAUUCUAUAGUUUAUAGAAAAAAAUAAGA